rnacentral:rRNA from 1 species
CACGUAGGGUGCGAGCGUUGUCCGGAAUUAUUGGGCGUAAAGAGCUUGUAGGUGGCUCGUUGCGUCGGGAGUGAAAACCUGCGGCUUAACCGCAGGCCUGCUUCCGAUACGGGCGAGCUAGAGUUCGGCAGGGGAGACUGGAAUUCCUGGUGUAGCGGUGGAAUGCGCAGAUAUCAGGAGGAACACCUAUAGCGAAGGCAGCUCGCUGGGACGACACUGACGCUGAGACGCGAAAGCGUGGGGAGCGAACAGG